rnacentral:rRNA from 1 species
AUUGAACGCUGGCGGCAGGCUUAACACAUGCAAGUCGAGCGGGGUGAUGGUGCUUGCACUAUCACUUAGCGGCGGACGGGUGAGUAAUGCUUAGGAAUCUGCCUAUUAGUGGGGGACAACAUCUCGAAAGGGAUGCUAAUACCGCAUACGACCUACGGGAGAAAGCAGGGGAUCACUUGUGACCUUGCGCUAAUAGAUGAGCCUAAGUCGGAUUAGCUAGUUGGUGGGGUAAAGGCCUACCAAGGCGACGAUCUGUAGAGGGUCUGAGAGGAUGAUCCGCCACACUGGGACUGAGACACGGCCCAGACUCCUACGGGAGGCAGCAGUGGGGAAUAUUGGACAAUGGGGGGAACCCUGAUCCAGCCAUGCCGCGUGUGUGAAGAAGGCCCUAUGGUUGUAAAGCACUUUAAGCGAGGAGGAGGCUCUUUUGGUUAAUACCCAAGAUGAGUGGACGUUACUCGCAGAAUAAGCACCGGCUAACUCUGUGCCAGCCGCCGCCGUAA